rnacentral:lncRNA from 1 species
AAAAGGCAUGUUCAACAUUAGGUGAUAGCAAGUUUCAUUGAGUCUUAUUUUAUACGGCAAGAUAAGUUUUGUUUAAACUCAAGAAUUUAGAUUGUUGAAGAUGAAGAGUGAGGGAUAAGGGUACCCACGGUCCCCAUCGACCAGGAUACUGGCCGGCCUGACAAGUGGGUCCCACCCGACCGUGCGUGCGGGGCAAGGCAUGAAGAUACGUGGAGCACAAGUUCAGAGACCG